rnacentral:misc_RNA from 1 species
UUACUCCUGUAAUAAAUAUACUUGUCGAAAGGGAGCUUCACAGCACAAAUCACCAGUACAAUUGUCAAGAACAGCGGCAAAGUCUUGGCCUUUCCAGUUACAUAUUUCUUGAAAAAUAAAGCCAGAAAUGACAUGAUAAACAAACCAUGAAUGGUUAUUCCCUUUUCCUUCUCAGAGAUUGAUUUUGAUAACAACGCAAGACUUCCAAAGAACAAUGAUCCGAUACAAAUUGGCUCCUCAUUUGAGGACCUUGUCGGUGGAUCUGCAGGAACUUUG